rnacentral:rRNA from 1 species
UUCCUACGGGAGGCUGCAGUAGGGAAUUUUCGGCAAUGGGCGCAAGCCUGACCGAGCAACGCCGCGUGAGUGAUUAAGGCCUUCGGGUUGUAAAGCUCUGUUGUAAGGGAAGAACAUUCAGGAUAGGAAAUGAUCUUGAACUGACGGUACCUUACCAGAAAGCCACGGCUAACUACGUGCCAGCAGCCGCGGUAAUACGUAGGUGGCAAGCGUUAUCCGGAAUUAUUGGGCGUAAAGGGUGCGUAGGCGGUUUAUUAAGUCUAUGGUGAAAGUGCGGGGCUCAACCCCGUAUGGCCAUAGAAACUGGUAGACUUGAGUGCAGGAGAGGGCAAUGGAAUUCCAUGUGUAGCGGUAAAAUGCGUAGAUAUAUGGAGGAACACCAGUGGCGAAGGCGGUUGCCUGGCCUGUAACUGACGCUGAAGCACGAAAGCGUGGGGAGCAAAUAGGAUUAGAUACCCCAGUAGUCG